AAGAUACAAGAGAGGAUAAAUUUAGCCCAUCCUUUUCCCAUUGAUAAGAAGGAACUGCAUAUAUGAAAAUAAUUCCUAGUCCUACUUUGUAGUUACCAACAGGAUCUGGAGGUCAGACUACUUCCUGAGGGAAAGAAGGAGCAAUGAAAGCUAAAGCUAAGGCUACAGAGAUGAGGACCUGGGGAUGUUCUUUCUAAGUAUAUUACGUACAUUUGAGAGAUUGACAGACCACAGUUUGAAGAGAAGCUCGGAGAGAAAUCCAUACCAUUCUUUGUCAUACUCCAUGAACUGAGUGAUCUCAUGAGAAAUGAGACCUUUAGCAGACGACAGACCUGAGAAGAAUGUGGAUAUGGAUCUCCUACAAAAUAUUUUGGUGUGUUACAGUAGCAAAGAACUGCAUCAGUUGGCUCUCCUCCCUGCUGCUUGACCUGACUGCACAUCUCACCUCAGCGCUAUGUGUAGCAAUGUGGAAUUGUAGAAUCAUUUCACUGGGAAAGGACACUUAAAGGACAUCUAGACCAAUUCCCCUGCAGUGAACAGAGACUAGAUCACAGUGCUCAGAGCCCUGUCCAGAUUGACCUUGAACAUCCCCAAAGACCGGGCAUCCACUACAUGGGGACGUAAAAUUAAGUCACCAGUACCCACAGGAGACUUGAUGAUUUCUUUCCACCAGGAAGGUUGACCUGACUCAUCACUCCAUUUGUCUUAAAAUAACAAAAUAAACAAAUCCAGAGCAAGAGAAACAGAGAAGUUAUCACAGAAGAUGCAGAAGCUUGCCUCUGACUGCUAAUAAAUAUAAGUGAUUACAGCAGCUCUCUCAAACCAACCUUUCCAGUCUCUCCAUUGCAAUUAACUGUACAACCAGGUUAACCAUGAUAUACAUGUAACUUUCAUUGUAGUUGAAAGUAAUAUUUGUUUCUGAAUCUGUGUAUUUCUAGUUUGAUUGCUGAUGUUAAGGAAAACCUCUCCUGUCUAUUUCCCUUCUCAUUUUCUGGUAUCUUAAAAAUAGAAUUGGUAAUCUGAAAGACAAAUGAUAUUUGUGCCUCUUUUGUAGUUAUGUCAAAAAUCCCAAUAGGCCAUUACUUCAAGCAGAAUUGGAUCAAUGAGAUGAAUAUUUGUACUCUGUCCUGCCCAAAACCUGGAUGCACACAGGGGCAGUGAUGACCAAAGUAGAAAGGACAAAAACAUACCUGGGCAAAAGUUUUUCAUUUUUAUUUUCUCUAGAGACAUAGACUGGAUUAGCAUAAAUUAAUUGUGAAAGUUCAUCCCAGUUCAGAGGCACGAAGCUUACUGAAUUCAGCCUUAAGAAUGACUUUCUCCAGUGUUCACAAAGAGUGUGUACUCCUGUCCCCUUCAACUAAGUGCAACCAUUAUCCAAUCCAAAAACUCAUACAGUUGCUCUAUCAUGCUAUACCAUGGCCAGACAGGCAAGGGAGGCAAUUGUCCCCCUCUACUCUGAGGUGCCAGCUAGAGUACUGCAUCCAAGUCUGGCGCCCCUAAAACAGUAAAGGAUCUGUUGGAGAGGGUCCAGAAGAGGGCUUGUUCAGCCUGGAAAAGAGAAUGCUGUGGGGAGACCUUGUUGAAGGCUUCCAAUAUUUAAAAGGAAUUUAUAAGCAUGAAGGAAGUCAACUUUUUACAUAGGUAGAUAGUGGUAGGACCAGGGGGAAUGAUUUUAAAUUAAAGGAGGGAAGAUUCAUAUUAAAUGUCAGGGGGAAGUUUUUUA